UCCGAGUUGACCCCGGCAGUCUCCUAUGAGUCCUCGGCUUUACCCGUUAGCAACAGCAGAUAAGGGUUGCGCUCGUUGCGGGACUUAGCCCAACAUCUCACGACACGAGCUGACGACAACCAUGCACCACCUGUGCACGGCCCUUACGGACCUCCCAUCUCUGGAAGAUUUCCGUGCAUGUCAAGCCUAGGUAAGGUUCUUCGCGUUGCAUCGAAUUAAGCAACAUGCUCCGCCGCUUGUGCGGGCCCCCGUCAAUUCCUUUGAGUUUUAGCCUUGCGGCCGUACUCCCCAGGCGGGGCGCUUAAUGCGUUAGCUGCGGCACGGAACUCGUGGAAUGAGCCCCACACCUAGCGCCCAACGUUUACGGCGUGGACUAC
rnacentral:misc_RNA from 1 species